rnacentral:rRNA from 1 species
UGCAUAUUCCAAUUACUGAGGAAAAGGAACCAACAGGGAUUGCCUCAGUAACGGCGAGUGAAGCGGCAAAAGCUCAAAUUUGAAAUCCCCCCGGGGAGUUGUAAUUUGAAGAUUGCGUCUUGGAGGCGACCGUGUCUAUGUUCCUUGGAACAGGACGUCACAGAGGGUGAGAAUCCCGUGCGGCACGGCCCCCGGCUCCUUAUAAGGCGCUCUCGACGAGUCGAGUUGUUUGGGAAUGCAGCUCAAAGUGGGUGGUAAAUUCCAUCUAAAGCUAAAUACAGGCGAGAGACCGAUAGCGAACAAGUACAGUGAUGGAAAGAUGAAAAGCACUUUGAAAAGAGAGUGAAACAGCACGUGAAAUUGUUGAAAGGGAAGGGCAUGCCGUCAGAUUGUCAGUGUGGGUAAGAAGCGGGGUACAAAGACUGUGGAACGUGGCCCUCGGGUGUUAUAGCCGCAGUUCAUGCCCCGUCUCUUUCCGAGGCCUGCUUUGAGGACACCGACGUAAUGACGGUACGCCGCCCGUCUGAAAACCCCGGAACAAAAA